AGUACNGUGAUGGAAAGAUGAAAAGAACUUUGAAAAGAGAGUGAAAAAGUNCGUGAAAUUGUUGAAAGGGAAGGGNAUUUGAUCAGACNUGGUGUUUUGCGCCCUNUNCUCCUUGUGGGUGGGNNNCUCUCGCAGCUCACUGGGCCAACAUCAGUUUUGGUGGUCGGACAAAUCCGUAGGAAUGUAGCUUACCUCGGUAAGUGUUAUAGCCUNCGGGAAUACGGCNNGCCGGGACUGAGGACUGCGACUUUUGUCAAGGAUGUUGGCA
rnacentral:rRNA from 1 species